AAAACUUCAUAUAAAGACAUCAAUUUACCACUUUAAGUAAAAGGCAUUUGCAGUUGGCUACAGAUCACAGGCCAAACCUGUGCGAUUACUGGUCCGUACUUUACUCUCAACUCAUCGCGUGAACUGACUCGCUGGGCUGUAAUACUAAAUAUAUAACAAUGCUGUAACAUGUUCUCUAUAUCAUUGUUAACACAUCACUAUGCCCUUGUACUGCUGGGCCCAUAUAUACACAUGUAUACGGGUUGCACAUAUAAGCGUAUACUGGUCCUAUACACUUAUGGGUUCAGUACAUUUACUCUAUACAUCACAUGAAGAAAUUGCCAAUGGCUUUUAUAUACACAAUGCCUUUUUAUGGCAAUUACAAGCUAGUGGCUCCCCGCAAGAGGCCCUUUCACGCUUCAAACAUAUGACUACUACCCAAAACACUGUCUACAUCCGACCUAUCGCGCGGCUGCCAACGAUUACGUCCUAAUUUCCUCAAUUAAAAACAAGCUUUCACUACAUUGACGUUUUAAAUUCAUUGGGCUGGCUAAAAAGAAUUUUCUCACCAACAUAAACACACUUUCAUACAGCCGUUUACGUUUUGGGUUGGUACUAGUUUAGUAAUACAUGAAUGAGACCUUAAGGUUUAAUCAGUUUUGUACAGUAAAAGUACAUAACAAGUUGCGUAAAACCAGGCUGUAAGGUUUGAUCUACUCACGUACGUCGAAAUUGACACGAAUUGCAGUUGGAAAGUCCUUAUUGUCUUUGAAGUAAAUACCUUUAUACAUACUCCGAUUCGUAUCUCUGUCGGAUGGAAAUCUCUACUCUCAUUUACAAACUUUCCAAAACAUUGAAUGAUAAAGGGUGUUUUAGUGGUGGAUUCUAAAAUUAAGAGUGGAGACAGUUACACAAAUGUGAUAUGGAAAAUGCCUAGUUUCACAACUUUUUGUUGAAUUUUUUUUCAAAAUGUGUCCAUGGACUUUCUAAGUGUUUGGUUCCUCGAGAAGGGAUUCAACAUAAAUGAGACUAUUGUGAGAGUAUAGAUCCAACAGAUCUCUCAGUGUUCUUUUAGAAGAUACAUUUUGUUCUCUGUUACUGAUCAGAUUUACUAGUCUUCAUGCUGUUGAAAUGUGGAUUUAAUCAUCUUGUUCCCGGAUUUCAUCGUACAUAGGAUUUAGCUGUGAGACUGUAGUCCCUGUGGCAUAAUAAAGAUUUCUAGCAUCCAAGGAUUCAGUAGUGAUGGCCUGAGACUGACCCUGCCCUGUCUGAUCAUGACUACUGGCCACUACUGCAGCUGUGGUGUUUGUACUGGAUUCAUUGAUGGCUUUUGACUGACCCUGCCCUGUCUGAUCAUGACUACUGGCCAUCACAGUAGCUGUGGUGUUUAUGUUGGACUCAGUAAUGGAUCGAGACUGACUCUGCCCUGUCUGGUUAUGUUGGUCACUAUUUUCAUACUGGUGAUCAUCAUGGUCACUGGUAUUAGUAGUAUGCUGGUCGCUAUUUACAUACUGGGGAUCAUGGUCACUGGGAUUAUGUUGGUCCAUAUCUUCAUACAGGUAAUCAUCAUGGUCACUGGUCACUACAGUGGUUGUCACAGUGGUUGUUGUGUUGGCUUCAGUGAUGGUCUGAGACUGACCCUGCCCUGUCUGAUCA